GAUGAAGAACGCAGCGAAAUACGAUAACUAAUGUGAAUUGCAGAAUUCAGUGAAUCAUCGAGUCUUUGAACGCACAUUACGCCCCCUGGUAUUCCGGGGGGCAUGCCUGUCCGAGCGUCAUUGCUGCCCUCAAGCACGGCUUGUGUGUUGGGCUCCGUCCCCCCGGGGACGGGCCCGAAAGGCAGCGGCGGCACCGAGUCCGGUCCUCGAGCGUAUGGGGCUUUGUCACCCGCUCUGUAGGCCCGGCCGGCGCCAGCCGACAACCCAUCAUCCUUUUCAGGUUGACCUCGGAUCAGGUAGGGAUACCCGCUGAACUUAAGCAUAUCAAUAAGCGGAGGA
rnacentral:misc_RNA from 1 species